ensembl:lncRNA
CUGGAAGGGGGCGGGGCUGCCGCCUCCCAGGUCCUUGAGAUCAUUUUCCGGGAAAAUGCAACUCUGGUCUCCGAAGGACCUGAGCGGACCACCUCCUGACUGUUCAGUUGGCUUCCCAGGGCGGACUUCCGGCAAAGCCCCCAUGGCGGAGCAAGUCCAACACGGACCUCCUUUCCGCCUCGCCUGGCUUGGGGGAUUGAAGGACCUGGACAGAAGCCUGGAACCCUCAAUGUCCGCCACUGACCCUGGCGGUUGACUGGAAUGUCGUCGGUGGUAAUAGCUUAGGAAUUGCUGGCCUGUCUUAGAUUCCUCGACUUAUUAUCCUAGGCCUUUUACACAAAUCGCAGACUUAAAAUAGUUGCAGUAAUAGGAUUUAUUGAGUACAAGUGAAGCAAUCCACUAGGCUUUUUUUUUUUUAAGUGGCAUUUAAUCUUUGGGGCAGUCUAAUCAGAUAAGAGGUAUCUGAGGGGACCAGAAGAUGGUGUCACCCUCCGGAGCUGGAGUUACAGGCAAUUAUGUGUUACCUGACAUCAUGGGUGCUGUAUACUGAACUCAGUUACUCUAAAAGAGUAGUAAGUGCUCUUUUUUUUUUUUUGGUUCUUUUUUUCGGAGCUGGGGACCGAACCUAGAAGAGUUCUUUCGGACCCAAAAGCUAACAAAGUGGAGGGAACCAGAGGCUUUUCCGGGCCUGGUAACAUCUCCUGGCUAUGUCUUCCAGAUUGCCCCAGAGAAUCUCAGGCAUCUCUUGGGACAGAGAAGAAACCCUUAAAGCAUCUUUUUGGCAACUGAGAAAAUCUCAGUCCUGUGGCCCCAGGACAUCUUCAGUGGGCUUAAGGUGAGCUGGAGGUAAACCUGAGACUCACUUUUCAACCUGGGACACUAUAUAUAUAUAAAACCUGCUUGGCUGGUGACAGACCGUGUUUCGUGAUUUCCAGAGCCUUUACAGACCUCAGAGAGCUCAGCAAUCAGGUAUUAAAAACUAGUUGCAGUUGUAAAACUGCACUCACGGGGUUGGGGAUUUGGCUCAGUGGUAGAGCGCUUGCCUAGCAAGCACAAGGCCCUGGGUUCGGUCCCCAGCUCCGGAAAAAAAAAAAAAAAAGACUGCACUCACUAGAAAGUUCCUAGGUUUAGCCUGUUCCUUCUUCUGCUUGGCUGCGGACUGGACUCCUGAGUAUGUACAGCUGGUUCUCAAUUUACCAUGGUUUCACCAACAGUCGUGGGCUUACAGGAAUACUAAAUGCCUUUUUUGGACUCAGGUCACUUCAAGGCCAGCCUUGGCUGCAUAGUAAGUUUGAGGUCAGCCUAGACUACAUGAGACCCUGUCUUAAAAAAAAGACAAACAGGACUGAAAAGAUGGCUCUGUGGUUAAGAGCACAGACUGCUCUUCCAGAGGUCAUGGGUUCAAUUCCCAGCAACCACAUGAUGACUCACAACUAUCUGUGAUGGGAUCCGAUGCCCUCUUCUGGUGUGUCUGAAAACAGAUACGGUGUACUCAUAUUCAUAAAUAAAUAAAUAAAUCUUUAAAAAACAAA